GCUCCCUUCGUCUAGCGGUCCAGGACAUCGCCCUCUCAAGGCGGGAACAGGGGUUCGAGUCCCCUAGGGAGCGCCA
rnacentral:tRNA from 1 species